rnacentral:rRNA from 1 species
CCCCUAGAUGUUCAGGGCCGCACGCGCGCUACACUGAACAGUUCAACAAGUCUUAACCUUGGCCGAUAGGUCUGGGUAAUCUUUGAACGCUGUUCGUGAUUGGGAUAGACCUUUGCAAUUAUGGGUCUUCAACGAGGAAUUCCUAGUAAACGCAAGUCAUCAGCUUGCAUUGAUUACGUCCCUGCCCUUUGUACACACCGCCCGUCGCACCUACCGAUUGAAUGGUCCGGUGAAAUCUCGGGACGGCGGCUUGGUCGCUUGCGUCCGACUGCUGAAACUUGAUUAAACCAUAUCAUUUAGAGGAAGGUGAANUCGUAACA